AUCCCAUGAUGAGGACACUUACGAAGGAAUUCUUUGAAUCUUUCUCAUCCCUUAUAUAAAGACUCAUCAUCCAAUUGUUGAAAAAUAGUUAUCUUAUUUCGCAACUU
rfam:Gossypium raimondii chromosome 5, whole genome shotgun sequence.